UCCGGAAUCAUUGGGUUUAAAGGGUCCGUAGGUGGACAAUUAAGUCAGAGGUGAAAUCCUGCAGCUCAACUGUAGAAUUGCCUUUGAUACUGGUUGUCUUGAAUUAUUGUGAAGUGGUUAGAAUAUGUAGUGUAGCGGUGAAAUGCAUAGAUAUUACAUAGAAUACCAAUUGCGAAGGCAGAUCACUAACAAUAUAUUGACACUGAUGGACGAAAGCGUGGGUAUCAAACAGGAUUAGAUACCCUGGUAGUCCACGCAGUAAACGAUGAUAACUAGGAGUUUGCAAUAUGACCGUAAGCUCUACAGCGAAAGCGUUAAGUUAUCCACCUGGGGAGUACGCCGGCAACGGUGAAACUCAAAGGAAUUGACGGGGGCCCGCACAAGCGGAGGAACAUGUGGUUUAAUUCGAUGAUACGCGAGGAACCUUACCCGGGUUUGAACGUAGUCUGACCGGCUUAGAGAUAGGCUUUUCAUUUAUGACAGAUUACGAGGUGCUGCAUGGUU
rnacentral:rRNA from 1 species